rnacentral:rRNA from 1 species
GACGAACGCUGGCGGCGUGCUUAACACAUGCAAGUCGAACGGAAAGGCCCUGCUUUUGUGGGGUGCUCGAGUGGCGAACGGGUGAGUAACACGUGAGUAACCUGCCCUUGACUUUGGGAUAACUUCAGGAAACUGGGGCUAAUACCGGAUAGGAGCUCCUGCUGCAUGGUGUGGGUUGGAUAGUUUCGGCGGUUGGGUAUGGACUCGCGGCUUAUCAGCUUGUUGGUGGGGUAGUGGCUUACCAAGGGUUUGACGGGUAGCCGGCCUGUGAGGGUGACCGGGGACAAUGGGACUGAGAUAGGGAGAAGAAUGCAACGGGAGGCAAGAGUGGGGAAUAUUGCAGAAUGGGCGGAAGCGAGAUGCAGAAACGCAGGGUGCGGGAUGACGGGCUUCGGGGUGUAAACCGAUUUCGCAUGUGACGAAGAGGGAGUGACGGUAAUGGGUAAAGAAGCAACGGCUAACUACGUG